GAAAGUGAUUGGACCAGGGCACUGACCAAUCACUCGGUGCCCUGGGGAAAUGAUUGGUCCAAAAUGAACAUCAGUAAGGACCAAUCAAAGCGCCCAAAUUCCACCAAUCGGUGCGCGGAUCCAAAACCCACCAAUCCUGGACCAGGGACUGUUAUGAAAAGGGGGGCUUUGAGUUCUUCGGGGUGCUUUCGGGUUUAUUCCUGUUGGUGUGCGGUUUGUUUGCGGAAGAACCCAACGUGUGCUUAAGAUGUUGUUCUAGAUUUUGAGCUGUUGUGUGUGGAUUCUGAGCUUAUCUCAGGUCCUCUGUCCUCUCUGGCUUGUUUUAAUAAACGAGAGCCUUUUUCAACCACUUUCUGAAAAUUGGCCUUGUUGGAUUUUUAACAACAUGGUUUCCUUCACUGGCAUCCCCAGGGGUCCUUGUAGAGAAAGAGCAGGAGCAGAUUGCUUUAUCAGAGAUACCAUGCCAGGCUCAGGGAGAGCUGUUCCCAGCCCGAGAGCAGGAAGAGCAGCUCAGGCAGCAGGUGGAAGGGCCAGAGCAGAAUGGCCAGACCAUCAAGGAAGAUGUGCAGGCGGAGCUGCAGGAAUCUGAGGAUAGGAACAAGGAAAGGGUGAGGAGGCUGGAGGAAGAAAUGAA